UACGAAGGGGGCUAGCGUUGCUCGGAAUCACUGGGCGUAAAGGGUGCGUAGGCGGGUUUUUAAGUCAGGGGUGAAAUCCUGGAGCUCAACUCCAGAACUGCCUUUGAUACUGAAGAUCUUGAGUCCGGGAGAGGUGAGUGGAACUGCGAAGUGUAGAGGUGAAAUUCGUAGAUAUUCGCAAGAACACCAGUGGCGAAGGCGGCUCACUGGCCCGGUACUGACGCUGAGGCACGAAAGCGUGGGGAGCAAACAGGG
rnacentral:rRNA from 1 species